AAAGCAUCAAGUAGAAACAAUCCAGCUCCACUGAAACCACAAAUCUAAAAGGGGGAAAAAUAAACAUCAUGACAUCGACAAGUGUGAUGGACUUACUCCAAAAGCACCAUGUUUUUUGCAUUGCAAGCGUGUGCAGGCAAAGACUAAACCAAUAAAGACAAUUACCACUCCAAGACCAGCUGCAUUGAGGUAUAUUUCGUAUCUACCAUAGUGUCUGAAGUAGUCGACUUUAAUUACGUUUUGUGGGAAAUAAUCAUAAAAUUCCUUGUAAAAUUUACCGACAAAACCACUUCCAACUGCCAGUGCUGCCUGGGAAAGUUGAAAGUUGUUAGUGUUUUUUCUAACUGGAAUACAAGAAUAGCAAUAUGUUUAUAACAAUUAACAUUAUAUGUACCACAAGGAACGUAUAUUAACUUUAUGUAUGCUACAUACAACAUAAGGAACGUAUGUUAAUAUUAUGAAUGCUACAUACAACAUAAGGAACGUAUGUUAAUAUUAUGUAUGCUACAUACAACAUAAGGAACGUAUGUUAAUAUUAUGUAUGCUACAUACAACAUAAGGAACGUAUGUUAAUAUUAUGUAUGCUACAUACAACAUAAGGAACGUAUGUUAAUAUUAUGUGCAGUACUGCUCAGAAGUAACUUAGCACUGCGUUCUCGUUCCAUUUGCGUUUCGAACGCGUUUCAAAAAAAUUUUUGAACACGGUCUGAACGCGACCCCGAUUGUUCAAAUGAACUCGGUAUAACAUGGAAAUUUCCGAAAUUAAACCCUUGUAUAGCGAGUAUAAAUGAUGAUUACCGAUCAAUGAUCAGAUGCGGCCAACAACGCGUUUUGAUACGCGUUCCAUCUUCAGCCGAACGCAAUUGGAACGCAACUGGAACGCAUUUGGAAGACAUUUUGGAACGAGUUAGGAGCGCGUUUUAGGUAAACUUACUUCUGAGCAGCACUGUAUGCUAUAUGCAACAUAAGAAACGUAUGUUAAUAUUAUGUAUCCUACAUACAACAUAAGAAACGUAUGUUAAUAUUAUGUAUAUUAAAUGUAUAAUAAGGAAAAUAAUUUUUACAUCUUA